rnacentral:rRNA from 1 species
UCUACAGUCAUACCACCCUGAACACACCUGAUCUUAUCUUACCUCAGAAGCUAAGCAGGGUCUGGCCUGAAUAGUACUUAGAUGGAAGAUAAAUACAUUUUUGGUACAUUUAUAU